rnacentral:tRNA from 1 species
GUCCUCGUAGCUUAAACAAAGCAUAGCGCUGAAGACGCUAAGAUGGUCGACACAUUUUUUCCCCGAGGAC